GAGGUCGGAGAAGUGUCGGCGAGGCCGAUGUGGAAGUUUCGAAGGAAAGACACAUUCGCAUUCGUGAAAGGUACGCCGCCUCUUUCCAGUAGCAGCACGCUGAAGUUCUGUGACAAUGUCGCCGCCAAUGGACAGCCGGCGGUACCACCGCCGACGAUUAUAUAAUCGUAACCUCCCUCUCGCUCAUGGCCGUCGCGAUAGAAAGAGCUAGCGCGCUUGAUGAACGGGUAUGAGAGAACCAACCUUGGCAAGAAGAGAGAAGAAGAACAAGGAAGAGAAAGAGGUUCACAGCCCCAACCAACGCCAUUGAAUUGCAGAAAAGGAAAAUGGAAGCUGCUUCUUCGAAAUCAGAGUAGUGGAUGAUCUCUUAGAUCGUGUGUGGAUGGCAGAUUUAAAGACGAAGAACAGAUCCCAAGAAAACACAUGAAUCUGUUGGAGCUUUGGAUGGAUGGAUGGGUGUGCUGGUGGAUCGUUGGAUGAGGUCUUUUGAGGUCUGACCAUGGCCGUCCAUGGAUGCUACUAGAACAUCGCUCAUUCACCUGUAUGGGUACGUAUAUUUAUUGCGUUGGUAGCUUCCAGUUGACAUGGCAUGGUUUUAUUUAAAUUUUAAUUAAUUACUUUUUAACCGUUUUUUAAAAAAAUUUAAGUCUUUAAAAUAUACAUUGAAAUAAAAGAUGAUUUUUUUUUUUCCUUUAAAUGCCUUAAUCAUCAACCACAUCCAUCCAACCACCAACACAAAUGUUUAACCAUCCUUCUUUGUUGCACCCGUGAAUGUCUUGUGAAGGGGCCAUCGUGUUUCCACCGUGCAGUAGAAGCAGCACUGCUUGUAAUAAACUCCUAACCAAACUGUUUUAUGU